rnacentral:rRNA from 1 species
UAAUGUCUGGGAAACUGCCUGAUGGAGGGGGAUAACUACUGGAACGGUAGCUAAUACCGCAUAAUGUCGCAAGACCAAAUGGGGGACCGUUCGGGCCUCAUGCCAUCAGAUGUGCCCAGAUGGGAUUAGCUAGUAGGUGGGGUAACGGCUCACCUAGGCGACGAUCCCUAGCUGGUCUGAGAGGAUGACCAGCCACACUGGAACUGAGACACGGUCCAG